AGAUUGAACGCUGGCGGCAGGCUUAACACAUGCAAGUCGAGCGGUAGCACAGGGGAGCUUGCUCCCUGGGUGACGAGCGGCGGACGGGUGAGUAAUGUCUGGGAAACUGCCUGAUGGAGGGGGAUAACUACUGGAAACGGUAGCUAAUACCGCAUAACGUCGCAAGACCAAAGAGGGGGACCUUCGGGCCUCUUGCCAUCAGAUGUGCCCAGAUGGGAUUAGCUAGUAGGUGGGGUAAUGGCUCACCUAGGCGACGAUCCCUAGCUGGUCUGAGAGGAUGACCAGCCACACUGGAACUGAGACACGGUCCAGACUCCUACGGGAGGCAGCAGUGGGGAAUAUUGCACAAUGGGCGCAAGCCUGAUGCAGCCAUGCCGCGUGUGUGAAGAAGGCCUUCGGGUUGUAAAGCACUUUCAGCGAGGAGGAAGGUGGUGAACUUAAUACGUUCAUCAAUUGACGUUACUCGCAGAAGAAGCACCGGCUAACUCCGUGCCAGCAGCCGCGGUAAUACGGAGGGUGCAAGCGUUAAUCGGAAUUACUGGGCGUAAAGCGCACGCAGGCUGUUUGUUAAGUCA
rnacentral:rRNA from 1 species